rnacentral:lncRNA from 1 species
GGCCGCGGAUUGUGGCUUUGGGGUGCAGUGCUAAGCAAACCGCAUAGCUCAUGUUCUUUGGGCUCUUGGAUCUGACCAGGCCGGUAAUUGGGAGAAAUGAAGAGAUCACGGGCCUCAUGGGCUGCUGGAAUGUUGGGCAUGCAGGCCUCCUGCCUGCUAGUUCAAGAGAAUAAAUAAAGGAAAAGCUAGUAUGGGUUGAGCUCCCUUGUUGAGUACCGUAAAUGGCAUUGGUUGCCUGGUUCUCUUCGUAGGGAAAAAGGUAGGCUACUCCCAAA